AUUCUGAAUUGAAUGAACCUUUCGUAAGAAUAAUAUUUUAUGACAAGGCAGAACCUAUUUCUAAGCAUUUUAAUUUGAGAAAAGGUUGGUUUUCAGAACGCGUUCAAGUGAUCCAAGAUAACGAAGACAUGGUGAACUCGAAGCUGCUUUUAAUCACUUUUCUGUGCGUCUUUGUCAUCAUCAGUGAAGCAAAACCCUCCAAACGUUCGGUGCAUGUCGAUAACGGGAAAAAUCUAUACAAAAGGCUUGGAGUUAUAUGGUAUCUAGAUACUGUCCCGCCUGCCUUCAAGUUGAGACAUCGUCAAAAGGCAAAGCCGGUCAAGGACCGGAAGGAGAAGGGAGAGAAUAAAUGAGCAGCAAUAACAACGAGAUUAUGAUCAAGAAAGAACAAAAAUAGUGACAAGAAGGAAUGAUGACUUUGAUACUGGGUACUGCUUACUUAUUGUAAUCGUGUGUUGCCCUACUGUUCUUCAACCACAACCAUCCAGCAACCCGCAUUUGCAUUCCCCAAAUAGAGGCUUUGCACCAUCACGUGAUGGCAGCCAUGACUGGAGGCACAACAAUAGAGUCUUUCUCUCCCGGGGAAAAUGAAAUAUUUCUUAUGUUAAUCAGAGUAGACCAGAGUAGACUCAUGGCUGCCAUCACGUGAUGGUGCAAAGCCUCUAGACUAUUGCUGUUUCUGUUACAACAAAGCUAACUUUAUUUCAACCUUUGAAAUGAAUCAAAUUGUAUAGUAAGAUUUCUUCAAUAUUAUUUUAAUGUUAUUUUCCUCUCAUUCGUACAAUAAAUAAGCAUUACUUAUA